UACGGGGGGGGCAAGCGUUGUUCGGAAUUACUGGGCGUAAAGGGCUCGUAGGUGGCCAACUAAGUCAGACGUGAAAUCCCUCGGCUUAACCGGGGAACUGCGUCUGAUACUGGAUGGCUUGAGUUUGGGAGAGGGACGCGGAAUUCCAGGUGUAGCGGUGAAAUUCGUAGAUAUUAGGAAGAACACCAGUGGCGAAGGCGGCUCACUGGCCCGGUGCUGACGCUGAGGCGCGAAAGCGUGGGGAGCAAACAGGG
rnacentral:rRNA from 1 species